rnacentral:lncRNA from 1 species
GAAUCUAGAAAAAAGACGAAAGAAUAAAAUCAAAGCAUCCUCGUCAAGAAGUGAUCUAACCUUUAGCCACAUUUUGGAAACACUGCUCAUUGUUCAACCUUAGAUAAUAAGACAAGCAACUAGUGGGCCAACAGAGCUCCUUUCUUUCUAGUUUGUUUCUGACAUUAGUUUCAUUGAUUCAUUAGUUAGCACUGAUUUCAUUGAUUCCUUCAGUUAGCAAGCAUUACGUGUUAUAAUGUAGGAGAAACUAAGAAAUAUGCUCUUAGUGAAAUAGCUACUUCACCCCCUUGGAGCACAAAAAUAUGUUUCCAUAAUCGGAUCAGUAAAAGAUCACGUCCCCAUUCCAAGGACAACAAAUGCAUUCUCCUGAUCUGGGAUUUCCUACCUCCAAGUAUCCAAGGAGCCUGCACAUGGUUUCCCAGGUCACUUAAAGAAAGUCCAUCCUUUGCUUAGCACUGUUGCCCAUUUCUUCACAGUGGAGUGAUAACAACUUGUGCUUGAGGUCCCUAGUACUGUAAUGAGAGAUGAUGAUGACAAGGAGGAGGAGGACAAUGACAAAGAUGAGGAUGAGGAGGUGAUGACGGUGCUGACUGAUCUUGUAUACUAUAAGAAUCACCACUGAAUGUGAGGCUCACUGGCAAUUUGACCAUGGUCAUUUAGGACAAGAAGGAUAAAGAUACCUUGUUCCACCCCUCCUUCCUAUUCCCCACCCCCACUUAUAUCUUACCUUUGGGGCUUCAGAUAGCUGUGUUAAAGAUCCUCAGGGAAAUAGUUUUAUACUCCCAAAUCCUCUCCACCUAAGAUAGUCAUAGAACCUGUGACAAGGCAGUAGAGACCUUUUCAUGAGCAACCAAUCAGAUUCCAAGAGGAGAGGAAGCUCCUACCUCCAGCUUCACUUCACUUCUUGCCCCCAUCAUUUGUACCCCACCCCUGUUCCCUAACAAACAUCAAGCAUUUUUCCAGGCAUGCAUUGUCUUUGUCCAUGGCCACUUCAGGACAAUAAAACAUGGUCUACCAGGCUUGGAGAGGGCAUUCAUGCACCAAACUAGGUGACAACAAAAGACAAUCAUGAAUUGUAGGGUAGAAUUGUAGGACCAGAACAGGCUCCAAGACCAUGGAAUCCAGCCUCCUCACCCUACAGACAAGGAAGCAGGCCUGGGGGUGUACCCAUGCUCGCAGAUACCACCCACAGCACCUGGUAGUUGAGGCCAAGCCCUCAACCCAAACUCCCUUCUCACGUGUUCACACACCUGCCUCUAUCAGCCUCUAAACUAACUGAAACACACUUAAAUAAUUUAAGGGCUUCAUUAUUUUUUUUCUUUGGAGAAAUAAAAAAUAAACCAGAAACAUUCCUCGUUAGCCAAGGCAGGCUCUGACAGAGCUUGGCAGCUGGGGAGUGUCUUUCUAAAUCAAGAAACACCACAUCUCUUUUGAAAGUGGGAGAAACAAUUUGUACCUCUUAAAUGUGAAGAGAUGCAUUUCUUUGCAUGAACAAAAUAACUGCCAAGAAAUUGCUCAAGGUAAAUGUUGGGCAAAAUAGUCCACAAAGCAAGAGAUAUCAUGCUUGUCAGAACCGUUUCCAAUGAGAAGAUAAGGCAGGGAAAUUGUUUUUCCAUUUGCAAAUAUGUUCUCCAAAUUUCCCCUGGAAAAUAAAUACACAUGAACUUGAGCAUGGAAAAGCUGAAUAUCCAAUUAUUUGAUAAAGAAAACAAGCUGAAAUGGGCUUAAGAGAAAACAAAUUAUUUACCUGAUGGCACAAGAUUUCCACCAUUACCCUCUGGGAUUGUAACCAAGAUCCCCAGUAGUGGAAUGAUGGCAACAUUAACUGCACACUGUGUUUAUCCACAUACACAAAUGGUGUGAAGAUAAUGAGGUCAUGUGUGAAGAAACACCUAUGGGGCCUCAUUUAGUCUUGUUUAUUUUUUAAAUACCUAUGACAGAUCAAAAUUAUACUUAUUCUGCGCAUAUAUGAUACAGAAAUGUCAACUAGUUCUCACAGUCUCAUAGGCGAAGUCACGCUGAUGAGCAACUGAGAGCUGGAAGCCAGCACUGUGCUGGCAGAGAUGCACCUUGGGUACCAGAUGCACCUGGAUGUGAACGUGUUUAAUGUCCAAAGACCUUAGGCGUGGAAGUAAAGGUAUUGCUGUGAUAAACACCGUGACCAAGGGUGUUUAGCUGGCUUACACUGACUGCAGUCUGCCACUGAGGCAAGCCAAAGCAAGAACUCAAGGGGGGGGGGAGGGAGUCCAGAGCUAGGAACUGACGUAGAGACACAGAAGGACACAGCUUGCUUGUUGGCUUGAUCCUAAUAGCUUCCUGGCUUUUUUAUAGAACCCAUGACCCCCUGCCCAUCAGUGUCGAUACCCUCCCACAACAAUUGUUAAUCAAAAAAAAAAAAAAAGAAAGAAAGAAAGAAAGAAAGAAAGAAGAAGAAAAAAGAAAAACAACGCCCAACAGGCUUGCCUCCAGGACAACCUGAUGGAGGCAUUUUCUCAGUUGAGGUUCCUUCUUCCCAGAUUGUAAGAGAAACUGAAGCCAGCCUACCCAAGCCACAGUCGCCCUGUCCCGGGAGCCUAGGCCAGCCUGCACACACAUGCACAGAUGACACUUCCUUCCCUGAGUCAAGCUGCCAAGCCUGCUUCAAGGCCCAGAGAAGCUGCUGGAGAGACACCUGACCUGGAGACACCAAUGGGAAAAGGACAUGGGGCAGAGUCAGCACCUGAGCCAAUGGGACCUUGGGAGUGGGUAUAAAGGCAGGCCUAACUUCCUUAAUAAAUGAGUCUGCAGCUGGGAUACUCACUCCCAGUGCCUGAGUCAUUGGUGCUGCAUCAUCUCACCCCCUCCCCCAAGGGGUGUCUGAGCAGGGUCACCCGAAACACCAGAUGACCGACUCUAGCUUGUAUCAAGCUGACAAAAACCUAACCAGCACAGACAGCAAUAGAAUGGCUUUCCAGGAUCAUAUCCCAACUGCAUGCUUAGGUCGUGCUCAAGCAGGGCAGGCCUGUGCCAAUACCCCAAAAGGGAGUACUUCAUACACAUGACUCACCCUCUCUCUGGCCAGCCCCACAUGAGAAGACCAGCACACCCGCCAACAAGCUGCUUUCAGAGAUGGCCAUCAUUUCAGGGAAACCAAGGCAGCAGCUGGGGCAGCUGGUCACGGUGCAUCCUUGGUCAAGAGCGAAGAGAGACAAACGCAGCCUUGCUUGCUUGCUGCAUAGCUAGCUUCCUCCACUCUUCACAGCCUAGCUCGUGACAUGGUGCUGUCCAUGUCCAGGAGAAAGGUCCAGGAACCUGCUACUCCUCUAGCAUCCUACAUGGCAACUGCUCUCUACCUACACAUCAGAAUCCUCCUCAUCUCCGAGACCUGCCUAUCUUGUUGCCCUAUUGGCCACAGUGUUUCAUUCAUCAACAAAUAAAAUAAACAUAUUUACAGAAUGACAUCUCCCAUCAAACCUUCAUCAAGACUCUCCUCCUGGUGAUUCUCCAUUUUGUCAAGCUGACAGAACUAGUACACCUUCGUUCUUUGAAUCCAUUCGGCUGUCUUCAGCCCUGAACCACUCCAUGGUACACUUGUAUGCACACUGUCUCUCAUUUAUUUUCCCUUUCCCUUCUCCCUUGGGGCAUGGGUAUCAAUUACUAUGUUAUUGAAAUGGAGUAAGGGUGAUUGUUAAUACAGAAAGUUCUAGAACUAGGGUUGUGUCCACCAGAGGACUGGAAAAAGAAAUGUAGGUAUGUAUACCUGAUGAAGAAGUUGGAAGCUCCUCUUCCAGCCAAAACAACGUGAUCACAAGCAGGGUUGGGCCUGCUUGUUUUGGGGUGGGUGGAGUCCACAUCAAGAGUGGCAUGGAAAGAGGAUGGCUUUGAUCCUGACAAGGAAAAGUCAGGGGUAUUCCUGAAGAUAACAGGCAACCUUGAAGGUAUGCUGUGCUGAGACAUUAAGAGGGGAGCCAUGGCAUCAGAUGGGCUCAGCAUCCAGGGAGAGCAGACCCCCCUGGAGCAUCUUUCUCAGUGCUGCGUCCUAUGGGUAGCAGUGGAGAGAGAGAGACCUGAGGGAUGACGACCCUUGCCUUGCAGGAGGGGUCACCCAUUAUGCCUGGUAUCUCCCAACCCCACUGCGUGCAUCUCUUUGAGGGCAAGACCUUUCUGCCCUCCACCUUCAGUCACAGCAUAUGGACUAUGUGCCACUUGACUUGGGGCUAGACUCCACUAUGGCAUAUAACUCUGCGGGGUUAGUGUACUGUGGGGCUUAGGUGGGACUCAGGAAAAGGGAACGUGUCCACACAGUAAAUGCCUGAUUAUUCAGAUGAUAGUCCAAAAAAUGUCACAGCUGAUGGUACAGAUGGAGACUACUAGCCCUCAGAGGGGUUUCUGUGUGUGGCCCUCAGUGUCCAAUCACAGCCUUGUUGCACAGGCUGACACUAUCACUGGGCAGAGCAACCAGGCUUCUAAAGCCUCCUCCACUGUUCAUAUGGGAUGGGAGACAGGAUUGUCACUUAGCCAUUUAUUCUGUUCUGGGGCCUCUAACUUGGAACCUACUGGCCAGACAGAGACAAGGAACAGAAACCCAGCACGUUCUUAAGUCUACAACGAAAGUGAAGGAGAGGUCAUUCUCCUAAGACCACUCUCCCAGGGAUGUGGAACAUCCCUUUACACUGUAUGAAUAUAUGUCACUGUGAUUGGUUUAGUAAAGAAGCUGUCUGGCCAAUAGCUGGACAGGAUAAGGUUAGGUAGGAGAACCAGACUAAUGACACUGGGAAGAAGAAGGACAGAGUCAGGGAAGUCAUCAGAGAGAUGGAGAGGAAGCAGGGCAUGCAAGAGAAGGAAAAGCCAUGAGCCUUGGGGUAGCACAUAGAUUAAUAGAAAUGGGUUGAUUCAAGUGAUAAGAGCUAGCUAGUAAUAAGCCUGAGCUAUUGGCUGAACAUUUAUAAUUAAUAUUAAGUUUCUUGUGGUUGUUUGGGAGCAACUUCUGGGGCACAGAAAAACUCCAACUGCAUAGGAACACCAGUUCUAGAAAUUCUUGUGCUGGUUCAACAUAGCGACCCUGUAGCCUACCUGGGCCACAGCACCCUUUAAAGGCAGGGUGUGAUGUUGUUUUAUUUCUAUUCUAAGCAUCAGGCUGCCCACUUCUACCAGAGCAGGGUACAUUCCUGUGGACCUUGUGAGACAGAUGCAUUUUCUACUGAGUUAGGGACUAGCUCUAGACAUGGUAAUGGACUUCUGCAUGAAAAGUUUUUGGGUUGUUUGUUUGUUUUUGUUUGGUUGGUUGAUUUUUUGCAUGAAAAGUUGAAGCAAAACUGAAACUGUGAAUUCUGUGAAAUUUGUUUUGGUUAUCUAUGGUGGCUGAAUGAGAUAUCCCACCACAGUCUUAGACCUUCGAAUGUUUGUUCCCCAGUUGGUGGUGCUGUUUGGAGAGGUUUGAGGCAUGUGGACUUGGAGGAGGGCUCUGAGAGUAUAAAAAGACCCUUGCCACUUCAGGUUCACUCUCUCUGCCUCCUGUUUGUGAUCCAGAAUGUGAGUUCUUGGCUUCCAGCUCCUACUAUGCUCUGCCAUCAUGGGCUCUUCUCCCUAGGGAACCAUAAGCCCAAAUAAACCCUUCCUUCUACAAGCUGUCUUGGUCAAGGUGUAUUACCACAGCAGCAGAAAAGCAAUACAGUCUCUCUAGCCUUUUCUGUUUCCCAUUCAUGAGUCAAGCUCUCCCUUUACUCCUUCUAGCACCUUCCUGAACUCUAAAAAUAUGCUGGACAGUGGUGGCACAUGCCUUUAAUCCCAGCAAUCGGGAGGCAGAGGCAGGCGGAUCUCUGUGAGUUUGAGGCCAGCCUUGUCUACAAAGUGAGUUCCAGGACAGCUUCCAAAGCCACAGAGAAACCGUCUUGAACCCCAAAAAUAAAAAAAUAAAAAUAACCAACAUAGGACCUGAUAAAACAACUCGCCUAAGCAGUUCCUUGCAUUACCAUGUGGCCCAUCAGGUACUCACCUUGCUGUGGAAUGAAAUGGUUUCACAGGACCCCUCUGGAAGGGUUUUUUUAAGUUUUUAAUUCUUUUAAAGAUUUAUUUAUUUAUUAUGUAUACAGUAUUCUGCCCAUAAGCCAGAAGAGGGCACCGGAUCUCAUAGAUGGCUGUGAGCCACCAUGUGGUUGCUGGGAAUUGAACUCAGGACCUCUAGAAGAGCCGUCAGGGAUCUUAAGCUCUGAGCCAUCGCUCCAGCCCCUCUGGAAGACUCACUUAUUUUUUUAAAGCUCACCAGAGUGUUCCCUGGUUUUGCAAGUUAUACCAUGCUGGCCCUGAAUGCAUAAGAUGCUGGGGAGUGACCUUGGAAGAGACUUGGAUGCAAUAAGUGGUGGGACAUUACUUCAGAGGGGUCGUCUUGACUCUUCUCCACCCCAGGCUUUACCUUAGGACCUGCCAAAGAGACCAUACAAAAUUGACAAACAUCUAUGAAAUACCAAAUAAAUAAAUAAAUAAAUAAAUAAAUAUUUAAAAAUUAAAAAAAUGUGUGUUAUCUCACUUAAUCCUCCUGAGUCUUAUGAAAGCAGAUUUUAAUUACCCUAAUUAAAACAGUAAUUCUAUUUGCAGCUUCCUCUGCAAUCAACAUCCCUUUGACCUGGAGAUAUGGUGCUCUCUGGGUAUCCCUUUCCCCUUUGACAUGCUGUCUUUGCUGUCUAGGGUUCUCAUCAUCCAGAACUUGUUUUCUUUUUAAGAUUUAUUUAUUUAUUAUUUAUUUUCCUUCAUUUAUGCCUGUGUACCUUGUGUAUGCCUGGUGUCCUCAGAGGCCAGAAGUUGUCAGUACACUGAAACUGGAGUUACAGAUGGUUGUGAGCCCCCAUAUGGGUGCUGGAAACCGAACCCAGGUCCUCUGCAAGAGCAGCCAGUUGCUUGACCACUGAGUCGUCUCCAGGCCCAUGACUUUUCUUUUCUUUUUUUUCCGACACAGGGUCUCACCAUGUAUUCCUGACAUACCAGACUGGCUUUGUACUUAAAGAGAUUUACCUGUGUCUUACCUGCCUGGUGCUGGCAUUAAAGGAGUGUGCCACCACACCCACAGGCGGCUCCUCUUCCUUUUCCUCCCCUUCCUCCUCCUUUUGAAAUCCGGGAACUUUGCCUGCCAUAUGUAUGUCCCAACUCUCCCGGCAAUGGCAAUGCAGGUCCUUUGAGCUCUGUGCCUUCCCAACACCCAUGCUUACCUACAUCACAGGUCCUUGAUAUUCCACAUACCUAAAGCAGAAUGGAGAACUGAGCCCCACUCAUCUGCUACCCACCAUCGCCAGAAAAAAAAAAAUCUGAUUUUUAGACAGUGGUCCUUGGUUCUUAUGUGGUCAACCUGUCUGUUUCCCCCCAAGUGGUCUCUCAACCUCCAUUGCUGUCAUCAUCUCUGCAUGGGCACAGACAUCACUCCCCCAGGAGAAUGCUCUGUCUGUCUCUUCUAAACCCACUGUCCACUGUUGAGCUUGAGCAAUUUUAUAAAAUACAGAUAUCACUGAGCCACUCCUCUGCUUAAACAGUCAAUAACUGGCCAAAGCCCCCCAAAUAUGGACCCCACCUUUUACAUAUGCAGUCUGAGGCUCAGCCAGCAUCCAUCCCUUGGACAGCUUCCCACUCUCAUUUAACCUGGCUGUACCAUUGCUAUGAAUAUUCCUGCCUCCUUAGCUUUUUGUUGUUGUUGUUGUUGCCUUGGAAGUUCAAAGGCCCAGGUACCUUGGUACACUGGCAGGUCCAGAGGGGACCCGCAUCUAAAGGGGCCACGUUUGGCUACUUCCAAUUUUAAGCAGAAAUGUAACUUGAUGACAUCUGCAUUUUACUCUUAGGUAGUGUUGUUAAUCUCUUAUCAUGGGGUCUAGUCUUCUUCCCUCUAAUGUGGCUAAGAGCUUGUGGCUAUUCCAAAAGGCUAUAGAAGAGUUUGGUUCCUAUCACCAGACACUACAUUCCAAGAUUGCCAGUGCAUUCCACAACAUGCAUGCAUGCAUGCCUAUCUUUAGAGUGUUCGUGCUCACUGAACCCUUGAUUACUUAAGAUCCUUGACCCCCUUCACCUGCCUGGAACUCUUUGCUGACUGAAAUCCACGGAGUCUUAAGAAGUUAAAACUUAAAGAUGUCGUAGAGAUUAUCCUUUACUCCUCAUUUCAUGGAAGCCAGAAGUGGAGUUCAGGGAGAUGAAGUGAUUUACCCUGAAUCAUAAACUCGUGAGAGGGGAGUAGGACUGAGCUCAGUUCAGACAACAUCGAUAGGAAAGGGAUCCCACAGUGGGGUGGUGGCAGGGGACAGUGACUUGGGAAUUGUGGGUGCUGGCUGCCUGGAUGAAGAGGUUGCUUUGGGCAGGAUCAGUGUAGCAGGAAGUCUGAGGUGUCUGAGAGGGACAGCUGGGUUAGCAGGCACCAAACCUGUACCUCUGCUCUACUGGCCCUGUCAGAAUACAGUGUCCUCUGGAGAGCAAUUUCCAAUGACACCGGCAACACGGCCAUCAGUAAUACCAGCUCAGAUUUAUUUAUUUCUUUUUUCUCUCUCUUUUAGUUUUUUUAAGUCAUUUUUUCUUUGAAUCAGAAACAAGAUUGUUUUACAUGACAAUCCCAGUUCCCUUCUCCCUCCCGUCCUCCCCCCCCCCCCGAACUAAAACCCUACCUAUCACAUACCCUUUCUUCUAUUCUUCAUUGACUCAACCUUUCUGCUCCCUCAUGACCUCUGCAUCCUUCUCUUCCCUUCUCAUUCUGGUAGCUCCCUCCCCCCUCUUCCCGUACUCUCAAUAUGCUCAGGAGAUCUUGACCCUUUCCCCUUCUCCAGGGGACUAUGUAUGUCUCUCUUAGGGUCCUCCUUGUUUCCUAGCUUCUCUGGCAGUGUGGAGUGUAGGGCCCGCUAAGAUUUAUAUUGUGUUUAAAUCUUUCCAUAGGCUCACUCCAUAAGGAGCUGCUAUUAGCAUCAACAACAGCACAAAGAAGGGAUGCUCAGAGACAAGGAGAACACAUGGGAAAAUGUGCAGAUGUACCGUGGAAGUGUGCUACGCAUCACUGCCUGUCAUUCCAUCACCACCUCACACCUCUAUCUUGUCUGUGAUGUAUCGAUGGUAAGAUGGCUAUACAUCCAGGUUUUAGGGAUGGCUUGGUAGAUGUAAGGCUAGUUUUACUACCUUAGAAACUAGUUUGAGAAUAGGCAAGUGGUUGCCCCUGGGCCACAGAACAUGAGUCAGAAGCAGUGUGUGGAGUAUGCUGUUGCCUGAAAGCCUUUCUUCACUCUUCUGGGAUAACAAGGGGAACCAUUUCCCCUCUUCUCUGGCUAACAGUGAAGAACCAUGCAGUCCUGACCACUACAAGAUUAGGAUGCAAGCCAGCUCCAGAAGGAGACUGGCAGAAACCAGAAACGAGAGUAACAGAAUCCGAGUCUUUGGGAUUUGCUGAGCCAUGGAGGCAGCCGGACUCUGGGACUUGUGCAUAAGUGAGACGAGCUGGAGGGAAGUUCACACUGUAGCUGAGCUUCCCACAGCAGAGAGGCUGAACCUUGUGGUUAUAAAGAAUAAAUAUCACACACACACACACACACACACACACACACACACACACACACACACACACACGUAACCCUGGCUAAAACUUGCCAUGUAGAACAGGCCAGCCUCAGACUCACAGAGGUUCACCUGUCUCUUGCUCUGUCUGUACUGUUUUCAUAUAUUCACUAAACACACUGAGCAAGCUUUCCUGCAUGGUCUUCAAUGGAUGUCACACUGUAUUCAGACCCUGGCGCUCUCUUUUGGUGUUAGGCAAGUUUUACACUCACCCUUUCAUAACUCACCUUUUUCAUUUACAGCAGCAGGGUAACAAUACUCAUGAAGUUGUUGAGAGGAUGAAGUGAACUAAUAUACAGAAAGAUGUAUUGUUAUUACGUGAGUGUACACGAGAUGUAUGUAUGUGGGCAUGAGAGCUGCAGUGCACGUGUGGAGGUCAGAGGACAUCUCUGUGUGCUGUUAUCAGUGACAUCAAGGCAGGAUUUGAGAGACAGAAAGAACACUAGGAAGAAGAAAGGUGGCGUCUUGAGGAGACAUGGAGGAAGCAUGAUACGUAGGAGAUGAAGUAACAAGCCAUGAACCAUGUGGCAACAUGUAAACUAUAGAAAUGGGUCAAUUUAAGUUAUAACAGCUAGUUUGAAACAAGCCUAAGCUAUCGCUAUUGGCCGAGCUUUCAUAAUUAAUAAGUCUCCAUGUGGUUAUUUGGAAGCUGACUGGCAGGACAGAGAAAGACUUGCUACACAUGCACACAACAAAACACAACAAAACAAAACAAACAGAAAGAAGCCCAAACUCGGGGUGGACUGGCAGAUGCAGGGAGUGAGACAGGGAAACCAGAAUGUUAAGCAGAUCCGGGUUUGACAGAGUUGAGAUUCUCACUGAUAGUGCUGUGUACGUGGCUCUUGUGGAUGUGAGUCAAAACCCAAGGGGACCUCUGAAAAGAUCAUGCCAACCUCCCAACUGCAAGGAGACAACUGCCCCUGGGUCAGACCUUGCUUUGCUUUUUCUUCCCUUCCUCAUUUCAGCUGGGCCUCCAAAACACAAAGGCUAAAAUCCAAUAAGAAAUCUGUUUCUGUUGUAUUAUCUUGGCUGCCUAGGAGACUUCUUUUGGCAGGCUCUCUGUCAAUUUGUCCAAGUCUGGGGCCUCUUUUUCCUGGAGUUUCCAUCACCUUGUUUGAAAAAAAAAAAGAAUCUAAGCAACAUUGUGCAAGGUCGGAGAGGUCGCUUGUCCUUUCAGUAUGAGGGCCAAACCCAGGACCUGAGCAUACCAAGAGAGCCCUUGGUCUCUGAGCUACGCCCCCUGCCCCACUUCGGUGACCUGAAGAUCUUCAGUUUUUUUUUUUCUUUUGUUUCUUUGUCUCUCAGAGACACCAGAAAAACUGCACGCUAUGACACCCAGAGCAAUCAUGAUGACAAUGACAAAGAUAACUACAGAGGCUACUCUUUGUUGCUUGUAUUGUCGGUCACGAAACCAAGUAUUUUACAUGUUAGCUCAAUCGUUAACAGAAAUGGCCAGAGUUAAUGGCCAUUUAUCAUAAUAUGGCAUAUGAUAAAAUUAAAAGGCAUAAAAUGGUUUCAUUGUCGUAAAAGUUCAGCCUACCAAGAAGCUAUACCAGUUGUGAACUUUUAUGCACCUAACAAUACACUUUCAAAAAUGCAUAAAGCAAAAAUAUUGCCAGUAAUUUUUAUGAGGAUGGAUCAUCAGAGCUAUUAUCAUAAAAGUUAACACACCUUUACUCUAAACUAGAUCAAACUAACAAAAUUAAGUAUAGAGGGAAUAUAUAAUAAUAAAAUAUUAUACCUAACUCUAUACUCAACAGGGAUUAUAUCUACAUUGCCCUGAAAUACGGAAAGAGCUAUUAUAACUGAUUAUAUAUUAAUCACAACGAACAAUUUUGUUGUUGUGUUUUGUUUUCGAGACAGGGUUUCUCUGUGGCUUUUGGAGGCUGUCCUAGAACUAGCUCUUGUAGAGCAGGCUGGCCUCGAACUCAUAGAGAUCUGCCUGCUUUUGCCUCCUGAGUGCUGGGAUUAAAGGCAUGUGCCACCACCGUCCGGCUAUAAGGAACAAACUUUAAAGAUUGAUUAUAUUUGUAUUUGGGUAUACACAUGUGUGUUUACUUAUACAAGUGCAUGUGUGUAUGUGUGUCUGUGUGUGGCCAGAAGAGGGCAUCAGAUUCCCUGGAGCUGGAGUUACAGGCAUUUGUCAACCAUCCAGCAUGGGUGCUGGAAACCAGACUCUGGUCUUUGGGCAGAACAGUAAGUGCUCUCAAUCGCUAAACUACCUCCAGUCCUCAAAUAGAGUCAUCGUUUAUAAAUUAAAAGGGAGCAUCAGGGAGCAUAUUUAUUAAAAAUUAUCAAACUAAGCCAGCAAAUUGGCUCAGAAGGUAAAGGUCCUUGCUGCCAAGCCUGACAGCAUAAACUCAAUCCCCAGAUCCCAUAAGGUAGAAGUAGAAAGCCAACUGCUGCAAGUUGUUUUUUGACCUAUACACAUAGACACACAUACACAAUAUAUAAAUGCAAAAAAAUGAAAUGUCAAUCCAAAUAUAUGUACAUAUGGUAUAUUUGAGAAAUAUAUAUGUAGCCCAGGAUGGUCUCAAACUCUCUAACCUCCUGCCUCAGCAUCCCAAGUGCUGGGAAUAUGGGCACCAGGCCCAUAUAACCUCCAUCCUUGACUCCAUCCCCAGCUAUCUGCUCAUUAGCCCAUUGGGAAAGGAUGGCUGCAAUUCCACAGAAUCCUUCAUUUCAUCUAUCGAUGUUGUGCACUGUCUGGACCUCCCUUUGCUAGUCUUUUACAUGAGACACAAAUACCACCACAAUCUGAGGUCUGUGCAAAUACUGCUUCCUCACAAACCAACUUUCCAACUGUGUGCCUGUCAAGUCCCUGAAUGUCUAAUCAAACCAUUAACUAUAGGCAAUGAAUUGAUGUGGGCCCAAACAUCUGGCCAUCUAGCAUUUCAGGAAAAAAGAAUUACCACACACUCUGUUCAAAGUCUAGUCCAAUGGAAAGCUUCCCUUCCCUAGCCUGGCCUGUUGCCUUCCCCAAGGUGGUCUGUAGCUAUCCUCUUUCAGGUGACACCUACAAAUCAGGAAGGAUGACUGUAAAUAGGCCUCAAGCAUUUUCUUCCUCAGUCAUAGGCUGAAGUCGUAGACUGACGCUAAGGGUAGCAUGAGUGAGGGGUGUUCACACCCAAGCUGCUUCUGAGUCCUCAUGCAACUUGGUCUUCAGGACCCAACCCUAUCUAAUCUCAAAGCUUUCACACGAUUUGAUAAAGCCACUGGCAACUUUCAGACUUGGUAGGUCCAACAAUGCCCAUACACCCGGGGCAGCGCUUUCACACAGUAAUGUGGCAGCUUCCGGCCAAGUGUUCAGUCUCAGGCCUGGUAGCAGGCCAUUGGUGGUUCCCUGAAGGGGAACUGUUAUUCUCAGAGGGUAGCAUCGCUUAACUAAAAAUUUCCAAGGAUCCGUGCUGUGAUUCAGCAAAGCAGGCUGCCAAACGCUCCUAAAGUAUCCUUAGAAUUGCAAGACCAUUGUAUGUGAUGAGUCACAUGACCCAAUUAGCAGAACAGUUUGCACAGCAGCUCUACCUGUUCUAGAGAUGAAGCUCAUUCUGAGAAUUACUCAAAAUAGGCACCUUCUAGCCAGUAAGCAACAGAGCCAAAGCAGCAUAUCCAAAUGAGAAAUAUAUCCCCACCAAAAACCCAAGAGCCCCAGGAGGCACUGUGGGAAGACCUUGAUCCAACAACAUAAGUGUCACCAGAGAAGAGAAAUAUCUUCAUAUCUCAGAUAAUUGGACCCCUAAAUGACUUUCUCUUCAGUGGAGUUCAUCUCCCACUCUCCACACACAAAUAAACCGUGCCUAGAACUUACUGAUUACCAUGUCCACUAAGCACAUUGUCAGACCAGUGCAAUGUCCUAUGGAAGGGAAAGGCAGUCAGGGGCCUGUGGACUUCAUUAGUGCAGGGAUGGACAGUUUAUUUACUCCUGAGAUAGCCUACUGAAGACAGAUUGCUGCCUCAUUAGGCAAGAGCCAACUUCUGAGAGCUUCAUUAAUAGGCAAAAAGAAAAGUGUGUGUACCAGAUCACAAGCUACAUACCAGAUGUGUGAUGAUCUUGUCACAGUCACAUCUGUAAACACCUACAAUUGAAGUUACUGCCUGAAUCAGUUUAAGACAGUCCACUGUCGCUCUUGGCAUCAUGGCCUCUGUGUCUUUCAAGGCUACCAGUCAGGCAAUUCCUCCAAGAAUGCAAUAUUGCUUUCAGGAUGCAUUUUUGUAAGAGAGGCUGGUCUAUAACAUCCACUGUGGUUUUUAUCACAAUAACCCUUGUUCCAUGCACCAGGGAACCACUGUGGGAAUGUUGCCAGUUGCUGAGUGUAUAUAUUCUAAUUAUGCAUUCUAGGCCUAGGAAAAUAACCACAAGAUGGGUUUGGGUACAGUGAGAUGGGCCUGAACCAGCUAUGACUUCUCCAUUUCUCAAUAACAAAUUCUUCUGAGCUUAAAAAAAAAGUCAAACAUGUAUUAUCUGGUAAUUUCUGUCAAUCAGGAAUCUGGGAACCACUUCAUUAGAUGUCUGGCUCAAGGCCUCUUGGGAGAUCACAGCCAAGCUAUAGCCUGGAGCUACAGUUUUCUCAUGACUUGAUUGGAGAAGACAGACUACUCCUAAACUCACUCGCCUGGCUGUCAGCAGCCUGCAAUCCCUCGCCGCAGCCUGCGCAUGUUGCGUGGAGUUGCUCACAGUACAAAAGCAUUCAUCUCCAAGUACAGGGACUCGGAGAAAGGAGAAUGAACCAAGCCAGAGGUUGCAAUUACAAUUUAAUGUAAGAGAUGCUGCACGGUGUUCACUUAGGCUUCACGUAUACUAAAAAAAAGUGAUGCUGUCUGUCAUGUCCGCCACGUUCUAUUUAUCAGAAGUGAGCCACAGGGUCCAACCCACUCUCAAAAAGAUUACAUGGAUCUAUGGAUGUGAGGCAACAGGGAUCAAAAAUAAGAAUAUCUAUUCUGACUAACAUAGAAAUAUACAUUAAAUCAGUAGUGGUAGCGCACAUGUAAUCCCAGAAUUUGUGGGACAGAAAUGGAAGAAGCUUAAGGCUACAUAGGGUUACAUAGCAAGACCCCAUUUUAAAAACAAAUGGGGCUGGGGGGAUGUCUCAGCUGUCAGAAGCAUUGGCUUCUAUUCCAGAGAACCAGAGUUCAAUUCCCAGUGCCCACGUGGCAGUUCAUGACAGUCUGUUCUAGGAGGUCUGACACCCUCUUCUGACCUCUGAGGGCAUGCAAUUGGGACACAGACAUGUGUGCAGGAAAAACACCCCUAAACAGAGAAAAAAGUAGUAAUAAUUAAUAAUAAUAAUAACAUCCUGGGGCAGUGGUGCAUGGCUUUAAUCUUAGCUCUCAGGAGGCAGAGGCAGGCAGAUCUCUGAGUUCUGGGCCAGCCUGGUCUACAGAGUGAGUUCUAGGACAGCCAGGGCUACAUAGAAAAAAACCUGUCUCAAAAAAACAACAACAAAAACAAGCAAACAAACAAAAACCCAGAGGAGGAGAAGAGGAAAGGUAAGAAUGAAAUAUCAAAAUGAAACUCAAGGCACAGAGCAAUGAGAAGCAUUUGCCUAGAGUCUUUAGUUACUGUUCAAACCUCGUCUUAAUUUCAAAGCUUCAUUCUAACUCUGGCUUCUCCCCAGAAGUCCCUCAGUUGGGAAGUUUUGUCUGUUUGGAAGUAAGUUCUCAUAUACCCCAGACUGACCUAGAACUUGGUAUGUACCUGAAGAGGAAUUCUUCAGGUUGAGUUCUUUAACUUGAGUUCUUGAUUCUCCCGGGUCUAUAUCCCAGGUGUUGGGAUUACAGAUGUGUGCCUCAGGCCUGGUUUACAUGGUGCUGGAGGGGUUUGAACCCAAGGCCUUCUGCAUGACAAGCAAACAUGGUACCAGCUGAGCCACAUCCCUGUUUGUUUGUUUCUUAACUCAAUCUCACUAUGUAGCCCUGGCUGGUCUUGCCCUAUCAGCAAUCCUGCCUCAGCCUCCCAAAUACCAAGAUUACAAACAUGUGCCACCAGGUCACCAUGGCUAGGUCAUCUAUGGAAGGUGGUCUUUCCUCUGGUUCUUACUUUCCUAUCUACUUAUUACCAUUGAGAGAGACUCAGAAAUGGGCACAUUCACCAUAAUCAGUUCUAAGACAUCCUCCAACAAAACACAGGAGCUGAGGUACAGUUCAAAAGCAAAGCACUUGCCUAACAUGCACUAGGCCUCAGAUUUCAUUCCUAGUGUGCAAACACACACACACACACACACACACACACACACACACACACACACACACACACAACCAUGUGUUCUCAGACAGACACAAUUGUGUAUCUGACUUAGUCACUAUUCUGUUGCUUCGAAAAGACAGAAUACUGAGUGUUACAGCUUGGAUAGAAAGGAAUUCUGGCAAUCAGGAGCCAAAGAAUACCACAGGUCACAGUAAGCACAGCAGCUUACAGCCCUGCUUCAGGGAAAGGCUUCCCGAGUGUAUCAGCUCUGCUCCAGCAGGAGAGGGUUUCCCAGGCAAAAUUAUUACAGUUCGGCUUCAGUCCCCAGGAGAGGGGAGUGUAACAACUUCGCUUUGCCAGGGAAGGUUUCCCCAGGGAAAAGUGUUACAGCCCUGCUCUGCUCCAUCCAGGGUCGUCUCUGCUCUCAUGAAAGAAGGUCAUUCAAGCCUCAUUCAAGAGAUUUAUUGGGAGGGAAGAAUUCAGGAGAGUGGCUGCCCUCUACCAGGAUGGCAGAGGACAGCAGGGCAGCCUGAACAACCAUAAGCUGAAGAGGCACAGGGUUUAUAUAGGGAUUCUUAGGGGGGCAGAGUUUUUCCAGGGUAGGCAAUGGUCAGAUUUCAAUCCCUGAGCUCAGAGUGGCUAGAUGUCCUGCUCAGGGAUUGGUUAGUUUUCUGCACAGGUUUAGGGUCAGAUUUGGCUCUGGUUUCAGGGCCAAAAUGUGUUUCUUUCACUGGUCCUUUUUAACCUUUUGGCUCUAGUUUUAAGACCAGAGUGUAUUUCUUUCACUGGCUCUGAUUCCAGGGACAAAGUGUGUUUCUUUGGCACUGGUUUCAGGGCCAGGGUGCAUUUCUUUGGUUUUGGUUGCAGGGCUAAAGUGUGUUUCUUUGGCUGGACCCUUUUCCCUACAGAAGGAGCUCCAGUUGCACAAUUGGAUAAUGCAGUACUUAUCUGACAAAAAUGGGAAGGAGCUCUGGCCCUCAGUUGUCAUCUUUCUACAUCUGCAUCUAUGAGAUGUACUGUUCACCUGGUCCUCAGCCCCAGAGCCCCUCCAGAUGUUGCCCUGGGCACUUCUGUGCCUUCUCAGAGGCUCCAUAAUCACUCAACUGAGUUUCCAUGCCCUUGGACAGGAAAUGCCUAUGAGUCUCAUGAUGUCACCGGAAGCAAAGCACACGCUUCCUCUCUCCCUGGAUCCUUGUUUGUGUCUACAGUCCUGUGAGUUGGCUCUGGGGGAGGGUACAUCCUGCUCCAUCUCAGAUGCUUCCCUUGUUCUCUCAGUCUUCUGGAGACUUAGAUAAGUCUCAGUUGGAAAAGAGGGAAGGAAAGCUAGCCGGAAGUGAUCAGUGGCUAUUCUGAGUCUUCCUCUCCUCUUCCUGGACUUAGGAUUUUGAAACACAAAAGAACCCAGAACCACCAGCCCAAGGAUGGAAUUGUCUGCAGUGAACUGGGCCCUCCCGUAUCAACCAUCAAUCAAGAAACUGCCCUGCAGACUUGUCCACAAGCCAAUCCUAUGGAGACAUUUUCCCCAUCAAGAUGCUUUCUUCCCAAAUGUAUCUAGGUAGCCCAAGCUGGCGGUAAACUCUAUGAAGGGGAUCGUGAACUCCAGAUCUUCCUGCCAUAGAUUACAGGCAUGUGCCACCACACCCAGUUUAGCCUGAGUGUCGUCACAGUUGAGACAAGUGACAACACCAGGCACAAAUUUAGCAAGGAGAUUCAGGAAAUGACAC